rnacentral:snRNA from 1 species
UUGCUCACUUUGGCAGCACAUAUACUAAAACUGGAACGAUACAGAGAAGAUUAGCAUGACCCCUGCACAAUGAUGAAAUGCAAAUUCAUCAAGUGAUCCAUAUUUUU